rnacentral:lncRNA from 1 species
CUCUUAUAAAUCUCUAAUUAGUGUAAACAUCCUAACCACAUAAAAGAAGAUAAUGUUUAAUUAGGUGUAAAAUUUGUUCUAUACAUUCUAUCUGAAAUCUGAGACACCCUUUUGUAGAUAAUGGCCAUAGGAACAACAUAUAAUAAAAUCAACCCUCGAGGGAUACCUAUGCAGAAGCUAAUUUCAUUUGAAAGUGGAAAUUUGGUGAAAAAUAUUUUAGACACAGUUAACAUUAUAAUUGGCUACAUAAUUGUUGCAUAAUACUAACAUUGCAUUAAUUUGAAAGAGUAUUCUGUUAGCUAUCCAAAACUACC